CGUAAAGCGCAUGCAGGUGGUUUGUUAAGUUCAGAUGUGAAAGACCCGGGGCGUCAACCUCGGAAUUGCAUUUGAAACUAGGCAAACUAGAGUACUGUAGAGGGGGGUAGGAAGUUUACUAGGUGUAGCGGUGAAAUAGCGUAGAGAUCUGAAGGAAUACCGGUGGCGAAGGCGGCCCCCUCGGACAGAUACUGACACUCAGAUGCGAAAGCGUGGGGAGCAAACAGGAUUAGAUACCCUGGUAG
rnacentral:rRNA from 1 species